AGAGUCUAUGAUGGAAAGUAUUACAUUUGUGAUGCGGGAUACACUACUAUGCUUGGUUUCAUCUCUCCUUAUUGUGGUAUGCGCUAUCAUCUAAAAGAUACUUCAUAACUAUAUUGCAAUAGAGAAUCCUAAGGAUGACUUCCUUAAUGAGACUGUGGAGAGUGAAGUUGAUGAUGGUGAGUUAGCAAAUGAGGAUGGAGAAAACUUGGUAGACUUUACUCAAUCACAGACUCAGAGAGAACAAAUUCAAGAAAUGAAUGGAAAGCUCGUAGGAAUCAAAUUGAUUGGGAAAUGUGGGUAGAUUAUUGUGCCCGACAUCAUCCAGGUGACACAACAACAACUGGAAUAGACUAAUUUCAUGUGUGCAAUGUAAUUAAAAUCCUUUAGAGUCAAACUCUAUUUUCAUUUAUCUAAGACUUGUACUAAUUUGUUACUUGUUACAUUUGUCUUGUAUAAUUAUGUGUGUUUUAUGAAUAUGAUAGUUGAUGGAUUUUA